GUGUCAGCAGCCGCGGUAAUACGAAGGGGGCUAGCGUUGCUCGGAAUCACUGGGCGUAAAGCGCACGUAGGCGGACUCUUAAGUCGGUGGUGAAAUCCUGGAGCUCAACUCCAGAACUGCCUUCGAUACUGAGAGUCUCGAGUCCGGGAGAGGUGAGUGGAACUGCGAGUGUAGAGGUGAAAUUCGUAGAUAUUCGCAAGAACACCAGUGGCGAAGGCGGCUCACUGGCCCGGUACUGACGCUGAGGUGCGAAAGCGUGGGGAGCAAACAGGAUUAGAAACCCCCGUAGUCC
rnacentral:rRNA from 1 species